CUCACUCCACUCUCAACUCUCGCUCUCACUCUCAAUUUUUCUUCUAAUUUUCUCCUAGAAUUCUUCAUUCUUUGCAAAGAAUUGAAGUUGAAACUCAAGAAUUGUUGAAGAAUCAAGGGUAAUACUUUGUUCUACCAUUCGUUUCUAUCAAGAAAAGGUAAUAAUCGCGCUCAAAGCAUGAUAGCAAAGGGAAGAAAGUACUUGAGAUCUAAGCAGUCGAGGUUGAGCUGCGACCAGCGGUUGGCGGUGUUGAGCAAGUUAAUUAAAAUGUUGUGAUUGUCUUGAAACUCUUAUAUGGCUCAUUUCAUGCAUCGGUUUAAAGGGUAAAAAGUACGCCAUUUGAUCUGUUUAUUGCGAAAACAAGUGUUAAAAGUGCAGGAAUGCAGCUUGACCAAGGCAUCAAGGCUAAACUCAAGUCGGCACAAAGGACGCAAAAGGCCAAGAAAUCAGGGAGAUUGAUGAAGGGGAGUGAUCAAGCAGUUAGGCGGGGACCAUUGGCAAAGAGAAGAGGACACGUGCCGAUACAAAGGACACCAUCCUGCUAUGAAGGGACCACUGUCUUCUAGAAGGAGGAAUACGUGCCGACCAAAGAGACGCGCGGUCCUGGAAGAAAGCGAAUAUUCGCCGACAAGGUUGUUAUCCCUGCUGGAGGAUCGCUGCGGCGUGCCUAUAAAUAGAGGCUGCGACACCACAAUAGAGAAUCCUUUAUCCACUUUCUAGUUAGUUCUUAGUUUUAGCUUAGUUUAGUUAACUUUCAUUUCCAGUUCUUAGCUAGCUUAGUUUAGAAUUUCAGUUAGUGAAGCGUAAGUGAUUCAGUGCGAUAGAGGCUUCAGUUCUGUCCGGCGCAGUUUCCAGUUUCCGACCGAGAAUCGCUCGGCCUUUACUCGCUUUAUGUUCUUUCAAUUUCGUAGCUAGUUUUCGUUUUGGACGAGAUCUAUUCUGGAAUCAAAGUUCUUUUGUUUUCGGAUCUUCAA